GCUUUCAACAUCCCCGUCUCGGAGGCGAAAAGACGGUUUCGGCGUGAGCCGAUGCCAGAAGGCCUCGAGAGACUGAAGGC
rnacentral:sRNA from 12 species